CAAAUACUCCCUCCAUCGGAAAUACUCGUCGGAGGAAUGGAUAUAUCUAGAUGUAUUUUAGUUUUAGAUACAUUCAUUUUUAUGCAUUCCUCCGACGAGUAUUUUGGGACGGAGGAGUAUCUU
rnacentral:pre_miRNA from 1 species